GAUGAACGCUGGCUACAGGCUUAACACUGCAAGUCGAGGGGAAACGACGGGGAAGCUUGCUUCCCCGGGCGUCGACCGGCGCACGGGUGAGUAACGCGUAUCCAACCUGCCUCUGACUGAGGGAUAACCCGUCGAAAGUCGGCCUAAUACCUCAUGGUAUCGUCUGCGGGCAUCCAACGACGAUUAAAGAUUUCAUCGGUCAGGGAUGGGGAUGCGUCUGAUUAGCUUGUUGGCGGGGUAACGGCCCACCAAGGCUACGAUCAGUAGGGGUUCUGAGAGGAAGGUCCCCCACAUUGGAACUGAGACACGGUCCAAACUCCUACGGGAGGCAGCAGUGAGGAAUAUUGGUCAAUGGGCGAGAGCCUGAACCAGCCAAGUAGCGUGCAGGAAGACGGCCCUAUGGGUUGUAAACUGCUUUUAUGCGGGGAUAAAGUGAGGGACGUGUCCCUCAUUGCAGGUACCGCAUGAAUAAGGACCGGCUAAUUCCGUGCCAGCAGCCGCGGUAAUACGGAAGGUCCUGGCGUUAUCCGGAUUUAUUGGGUUUAAAGGGAGCGUAGGCCGUGGAUUAAGCGUGUUGUGAAAUGCAGGUGCUCAACGUCUGCACUGCAGCGCGAACUGGUCCACUUGAGUGUGCGCAACGCAGGCGGAAUUCGUCGUGUAGCGGUGAAAUGCUUAGAUAUGACGAAGAACUCCGAUUGCGAAGGCAGCUUGCGGGAGCACAACUGACGCUGAAGCUCGAAAGUGCGGGUAUCGAACAGG
rnacentral:rRNA from 1 species